rnacentral:rRNA from 1 species
CGUAUGGCGGAUGCCUAGGCUCUCAGAGACGAAGAAGGACGUGAUAAGCUGCGAAAAGUUGCGGGGAGAAGCACAUAUUUUAAGAUCCGCAAAUAUCCGAAUGGGGCAACCCGUCAUGUUGAAGACAUGUCACCUAGCAAUAGGGGUAAACCCGGUGAACUGAAACAUCUAAGUAACCGGAGGAAGAGAAAACAAAAGUGAUUCCGUUAGUAGUGGCGAGCGAACGCGGAUUAGCCCAAACCAUUGUUGUUACGGCAAUAAUGGGGUUGUAGGACCACAAUAUUGAUUAUUAAUUGAAUUAGAAUAGUUUGGAAAGACUAACCAAAGAAGGUGAUAGUCCUGU